rnacentral:RNase_P_RNA from 1 species
AAGGCAAAUCGGCUUAUCGCUGCUCGUCAAUUGACGAGGAGAGGAAAGUCCGGGCAGCACAGAGUACCGUACUUCCUAACGGGAAGGGUCAGUUUUAGAUUGAUACAGAUAGUGCCACAGAAAAUAAACUACCCUGACAAGCUUGCUCGUCGGGGAAAAGGUGAAAAGGUGAGGUAAGAGCUCACCGGGCUGUUGGUGACAAGAGUUGCAUGGUAAACCUUACGGGCUGAAAGACCAAAUAUACCCAGGAAUGUCAAACGAAAGUUUGAUGAGAAGAGCUACUCGCUCGAUCUGGGAGGGUAGGUCGUUCGAUCCUAGUCGCGAGGCUAGGGCUAGAUAAAUGAUAGGCGUCGUGCAAACGAUUACAGAACCCGGCUUAUGAUUUGCCUUUUAU